rnacentral:misc_RNA from 1 species
CUACUUCUUUACUUAACUUCAAGUCGUUCAUAACUGUUCUAACCUUUGCUGCCUCAUCUAAUAUUUUUUCUCCAGCAUACAUAUUUGAAACUAGUAUGUAAGAUCCAGCUUCAGCAGGUGACAAAUCAAGCAAAUGUUUUGAAGCCAACUUGCCAAAAUUCAAAUCACCACAUAACUUACACACAUUGACCAAAGUUCUCCAAAGCAAGGUUGACUUUGAAAAUGGGCUUUUGUUAAUUAUAUCCAUUGCUUCAGACAAGUGGCCAGCUCUACCCAAAAGAUCAACCAUACAAGCAUAGUGCUCAAGUAAAGGUUUAAUUCCAUAUUUUGGCUCCAUUAUAUUGAAUAAGCAUAUUCCAUCUUGCCAUAGACCAGAGUAAGUGCAAGCUUGAAGAAUGGCCAAUAUUGUGAUCUCAUCAGGAGCAAUUUCUUUUUUCUUCAUUUCUUCAAAUAGCAAUAAAGCCUUUUGGCCUUGGCCAUGAAGAGCAUAAGCAGAAAUCAUGGCAUUCCAAGAUACAAAGUCAUGUUCAUUCAUGGCCAUAAAGAUUUUAUUUGCAUCUUCAAUGCUUCCACAUUUGGCAUACAUUGUAAUCACAGCGUUAGCUACAGAAAAAUCAGCUUCAAAUCCUGUCUUAAUACCAUAAGCAUGAAAACUUCUCCCUCUUUGUAAUGAAGCUUGAUUAGCUGACAAACUAAGUAAUCGCGAAAAAGUCACCAAAUCUGGUUUAAUACCAGCCAUCCUGAGCUGAUUAAAUAAAACCAUGGAGUCUUGUUCAUCAUUUCCACUGUCUUCCAUAAAUCCUGCCAGAAUGGCAUUGAAAGAAGCAGUACUCUUAAUUGAAAGAACAUUAAAAACUCUUCUUGCAGACUGCAGGUUCCCAGAUUUGGCAUAUAAAUCAACUAAAGCAGUCCCAAUAUUAACAUCACUUUCAUAACCAAGCUUUAUCACAAAUCCGUGGAUCUGAAGUCCCAAUUCCAAGAAGCUGUACUCUGAACAGCAAUCAAGAACAAUAGUUAACAAACUAGAGUCAACGUUUACACCAAGGUAAUGCAAUUCCAUGAAUGCAUCAACAGCUUUUUUGCCAUAGCCACUACUUGAGUAGCCUGAUACAAGUGCAGUCCAUGAAAUCACAUUCCUCUCAGUAAUUACAGAAAACAUUCUCUUGGCCUCCUUAGCCAUUCCAUUUUUUCCAUACAUUGUAAUAAUUGCAUUUCCAACUGAAGUUUCAUUCAGAACACCAUACUUAAAAGCAAGCCCCUGUAAUUGUUUACCUUCCUCUAUACCUAAAUCUCCAUUGCACGUGUUAAUUAUGUUAGUGAACGUAUAAUCAUUUGGCUCAAAACCAGAACUCAGUAGAUUUAUGAAAACCUCAAUAGCCUUCUCCCCAUUUCCGGCCCUCCCAUAUUCCAAAAUCAUAAGAUUUAGACAACGCACAUCUUUACCUGCCGUGCUGUCAAACAAUUUCUCUGCAUCACCAAGGAAUCCACUUCUUGUGUACAUAGCAAUCAAAGAAGUACCAACAUAAACAUUAUCGACAAACCCAGAUUUUAUGGCAAAACAAUGAAUCUGUUCCCCCGUUAUCUUAUCCUCUGAGAAGCUACAUGCUUGUAAAAUCACCGUGCAAGUAUGCUCAUUGAACUUCUCCCCGAAUUCAAACAUAUCACCCGCAAUACAAAAUACAGAUUGAAAAUCAUUUUCCUCCAAAUACCCCUUCAUUAGUGAAGUCCAGGUAAUUGUGUUUCUGACAUUCAUUUGAUCGAACACCCUCUGUGCCAAAUCUAAUCUAUUGAAUUUUACAUAAAGACUAAGUAGAUUAUUGCCUUCGAAUGGAUCACGUUGAGAGCCUGAUUUCAC